UACAGAGGUGGCAAGCGUUGUUCGGAAUUACUGGGCGUAAAGGGCGCGUAGGCGGCCAUCUAAGUCAGACGUGAAAUCCCCCGGCUUAACCGGGGAACUGCGUCUGAUACUGGAUGGCUUGAGUUCGGGAGAGGGAUGCGGAAUUCCAGGUGUAGAGGUGAAAUUCGUAGAUAUCGAGAGGAACACCGGUGGCGAAGGCGGCCAACUGGACGAAUACUGACGCUGAGACUCGAAAGCGUGGGGAGCAAACAGG
rnacentral:rRNA from 1 species